UGUUAAAAUUUUCAUUGCUUUCUACCUAUUAAAAACUGUCAUGGCAACAAAAUAAUCAAAUAGUGACAUGUAACAUGUCACGUGUAACUUAUGCUAACGUACAUGAACUAGUUUUUAACAAUAUAGAAAUGAAUAGAAUUUUCAACA
rfam:Gossypium raimondii Chr11_contig_8, whole genome shotgun sequence.